rnacentral:rRNA from 1 species
UACAGAGGGUGCAAGCGUUGUUCGGAAUUACUGGGCGUAAAGCGUGCGUAGUCGGUAUUGAGAGUCACGGGUGAAAUCCCAGGGCUUAACCCUGGAACUGCCUGUGAGACCUCAGUACUAGAGUGUGAGAGGGGAUAGUGGAAUACCCAGUGUAGCGGUGAAAUGCGUAGAGAUUGGGUGGAACACCGGUGGCGAAGGCGGCCAUCUGGAUCAACACUGACGCUGAGGCACGAAAGCGUGGGGAGCAAACAGG